AAAAAAAAAGAUCGGAGAAGAUCAGGAGAACGAUCAAAAAUAGACCCUCUCCACUUUGAGAACCUAGGCAGCGGCGCCCACCAAUUCUCCAAUCACUCACAUAUAAACACACACGCACUCACGUACAUGAACAUGGAGGGGAAACGGACGGAAAAGGGAUAGAGAUUGAGAGGGAUUAAUUCUUUUUUUUUAUAGAUAGAGUCAAAAGAAAGAAACGGGCAGAAGGAUCAUUCUCCUUUAGAAUCAUUCUCUUCUUUAGAGCAAGCAAACCUUUCAAUCCUUCCCAGAAAAUCCUUCUUCUUUCACUUAUGAUUAGUUUCAUCUUCUAAAAUUUGCAACUGAGAAAAUCCAUAAAGAUUCAUAAUCGGUGCUCCGGCGACCUUUCGGGUUUGUUUCUUCGAAAACAGAACUUUGAUCGAGUAUUCCAGUCUAAGCGUAGAAGGUCGAUUUGUCGUCGGCACGGGGUUCUGUUCGAUAUUCCGUCGUGUUCGUGUCCCUGUUAGCUUCUUUGGUCGUUGCUCAAUUUUUCGGCUGGAUUCUCGUCGCUUUUCAACUUAACAGAGCUAUAAAUUCAGAGUUCUAUUAAUUGAAAAGAAAUCUGCUCACUAAGAAGCAGAGAUUCCGAAAUUCAAAACUAAGAAAAAUCGAGAUUUGGGGUUGAGAUUUUGGGAACCCUUGCCCAGAUUUUAAAGCUGCUGAAGAUUACUGUCGUAGCUGUUUCUGUUUUGCUGAGCUUCGGUCGAGUUUUGCCGUUGCCUUUAGUCGGUUUAUUCGAGUUUUCUUUGUUCAACCAGGUUAGUUUGAAACUUCUCUGUAUUAUGCUUUUUUUAGUAAAUGAUUAAACAAUUGAGUUCUUGCGUAAAUUUGAAGAUCCGCUCGAUUCCUGAUUUUUGUUAUUCUUAUGUGUAAUGGAUGCUCAUUCCUCAGGUUAUUAGUGACUUUCUGCUAUUAUUUUGAUUUGGUGUUUACCUCUAUUUUUAACCGAAAUUUUGUGUCGUAUCAUUGCUGUAUAUUUCAUGUCCUAAUGGUCCUCAAGUGUUAGUGAAUACCGAGAUUCUAUAUUUAUUAUAUCAAUUCGUUUUGUUGAUUUCCUUGAAAAAGAUGCACAAAUUUUCAUGUGUUUGUCAUGCCUCCAUUAAUUGAUUUAGGUAGCUAAAUUGGAGAUUUAAUUUAGUGAUUGUUGAAGUGUAAAUAGAGCUUUGCCUUCAAUGGCUCAAUCGAGUGGGUUGUGGUUUACUUUUAAAGAACAGAACAGAGUUGGGCCUUCGGUAUAGUAUUUGGUCGAGAAAAUAUUUGGUUCAAAGGGAUCAUUUUAAUGAUUUUAAUGGUUUAGAGUAAGAAGUUAUUCAUAAGCUAGUCCGUCCCUUAUAGCUAGUAGAUAUCAAAAUGACAAAAAAAAAAAGAAUAGUUGUAAAUAUUUCUAAAUGUAGAUAACUUCUCAAUACUCUAAAUAAAUAAAAUAUUUCUUAACUUCCAAAUGCCCCUAUAUCCAUUAAUUAAUGACCUCACAACAAAUAUCAAAGUAAGUUAGCAAAAUAAACAACUCACGUACAUCGUAGUUUGCUUUAGGCGCGAUUAAUAAUAAAUCAUCGUGACUAUGGGUACGGUUCCCGUGGCAUGGUCACGAUACGUAAUCCCUAAUUCGAGUGUGCGUUUUACGUGACUCGACCAUAACUUUAAAUAAUAAUAAAUAAAAUUAAACACGUUGUAGAUUGCAGGUGCGUUUCACGUGACGUGAUUUGCGAUGUGUAUAAAAAUAAACGAGUGCGCGACAUCGCGACUUGUUCAAACAAACUCCAUAAACACUAAAAGCGGUUAAAAAGUAAAAUGCACAAUAGAUUUUAAACAUGUAAUAAUUCAGAUAAUCAAGCCAAGUAUUAAUUGUUAAGCGACCGUGCUAAAACCACGGAACUUGGAAGUGCCUCACACCUUCUCCCGAGUUAACAGAAUUCCUUACCCGGUCUUCUGUGUUCGCGGACUCUAAAAAUAGAGUCAAUUUCCUCGAUUUGCGAUUUAAAAUAAACCGGUGAUUUGGGACACCAUAAAUUAUCUCAAGUGGCGACUCUGAAAUAAAUAAAUAAUCUCAUUUCGAUUAAUGUCACUUAAAUUGGAAAAACUCCUUUAUUCCCCUAACUAUCCCAUCCCUUCGGAAAAAAGGAGGUGUGACAGUUGUCAUUUUAUCCGACUUCUUCUCCUUUCCUUGCAACGCCAAGUCUAAGCCAUCCUGAAUUAGGAUAGCUUCCAUCUUUAAUUACCACAUUCCGAAGUUUGCACUUCGGUUAAAUUUCUCAACAUAAGUCUUUGUUAGAGUCAUUUUGGCUAUUGAAACUAACCCAGUUAGAUCCGACUUUGAUAUUAAUUUGUUAGGAUCGAGAAUCCGGGUAGUGCGAAAUUUAGCCAAACAAUGGUAUAACGACAAUAAUAAAGACAAUGGAAGUUGAUAGCAACGACAAUUAAAACAUAUAAAGAAGACACAAAUUUAAUGUGGUUCGGUCAAAGUGACCUACGUCCACAAACGGAGAGGAGCAAUUUCACUAUACCAACAAUAGUACAAAAGAGAGUACAAAUUUAGAGUAAAUACUCUAAUUAAUCCCAAAUACCCUAAGAGAAGAACCUUACAAGAUCACUCCAAAGAAAGGGUUCACACAAGUAUUUCCCAACACUUAACUCUCGUACAAAACACUCUUAAUAAAUGAGGAAAGGAAGAAACAAGAAAUGAAGACUCAAGUCUUGUUGGUGUGUUUAAAAUGAACUAAUGGCCUUCCCUUUUAUAAGCAAAAAAGUUUUGGCCUCUUAGAUGUAAAAGAAGAGAUACAACUUGUACAAAUGAUGUCCACCACACAAUUCAAUAUUUUUGGGUCCCAAAAAAUAUUACCAACAAAGUCUACACUUUGCAAAGAUACUUAUGCUUAUGUGAGAUGGACUUCAUUAGCCAAAAUAUUGACCAUAUUACAGUGGCAAACAAACAGUCAUCGCAUAUCCCAUCUAGUAAUGGAAAUGGUGCACAUUACAAUUCAAAAAGGCUAAUCUUCAGACCGUAGAAAUAGCCAACUCUAUUCUUUUAAAGGAUUUGAACGAUUUCCAAGUUAGAGACACAAAAUAAUCAAAUUGGUACGUAGUCACUACGAUGAUUGUAUUGGUUAAAUAUUAUUGUGCAGUUAUUGUCCAAGUUUCACUGAAAAUUUGAGUAUGCACAAGUCCUUUUAAUUACUAGCUAAUACUAGUAGUAUAUAUGCCUAACCAAGAAAAUGUAUGGUCAUUAGCAAGGCGAUCGCGAGUAAUUUCAUCCUCGGAAUAAACAAGGUUGUAACUAAGAAGAAAUACAUACAUGUAGGAUGUAGAAUAUCACUUACUGUAUCAGCUUUACCACACAAGUAGCUCAACUCCAAUGCUAGUUUCUCCCUCAAAUUAAAGCCUCAUUAUUUUUAGGAGAGGAGAGGGGUUUAAUUUCUGUCCGCGUGACACGUAUAAGGUGAAGAUUUAUUUUACUGAUAAAAAUCGUCAACUUAGUAGUACUACUGUUAAUGUAGAAUAGAGGGUCGAAUAUUACAUUUCAUCUCUAUUUAAUUUUUAAAUGAUACAGUUUACUUGAAACAAAAUUAUACACUAGCAUAAAUUGAGGUGCGACUUAUAGUAGGAUUAAAUUAGCUAGAGUUACCAAGACGGAUAAAAACGUGCAUUUUUUCACUAUUCUAAAGAGCGAAGAUUGAAUGUAACAACAGAUAUGCAAGAUCCUAGGGGUAGCGUGCCCAACAAGACAAGCACUCCAAGGGGUUGGGGUUCGAUAACCCACUCGAUUUUUCACAUGCAAAUACCGUAAAAAUUGCACGAGGCGUCCUAUUUGAUCGCUCAUAUUUAACCUAUACCCAUAUUUUUAAAAUUUUUUAACUUAUACCCUAAUUUUGACAACUUUAGACGCCUUCUCUUCUUCCUCCUGACCUAUGCGCUCCUUUCUUCCUCCUCUUCUUUUCCUCUUCUUCUUUUCUCUCUCAAACACAUGAGACUUUGUAUAAGUAUUAUUGAUUGGAUCUGUAAAGUUUUUAUUAAAUCUUAUCAACUACCAUAUUCUAUGUUAAAGGACGUGUAAAUAAAACUCCACAAGCUGGUUAAAGUAGGUGUGAUUUGUGUCUUUCCCUGAUCUAUCCUUCUUAAACAUACAACAGCAACUGACUACUACAUGUCCUCUCUUCCAAGUUACCUGCCACAAGAAUGGCACACGCAUGUGAAAUUUAUUAUACACAAUAGUUGCUCUCGCGAUAUCUUGAAAUUAGCUUACACCUUACUUUAUGAUAUCAUCUGUAGGAAAAACGACAGAAAAGGGCUGCAGAACUGAAAAAUAAAAGAUAGGAAAAAUAACUUUAGAAUAUUAUAAAAAAAAUCAGUUAAAACUUCAUCACAAUUUGGCUUAAGUUAUAUUUUAAAGCCAUCUAACUUCAAAGAAAGGCAAAACACAACUUCAGCUCUAAGAAUGCUGAAGUUUAGCAAAUAUAAAACAAAAAUUUCAGUUCCUAGAAUGCUGAAGUUCAGCAAAUACAAAUAAAACUUCAGUUCCUAGAAUGCUGAAGUUCAGCAAAUACAAAACAAAACUUCAGCUCCUAGAAUGCUGAAGUUCAGCAAAUACAAAAUAAAACUUCAACUCCUAGAAUGCUGAAGUUCAGCAAAGACAAAACAAAAUUUCAGCUCCUAGAAUGCUGAAAUUCAGGAAUUACAAAACAAAACUUCAGCUCCUAGAAUGCUGAAGUUCAGCAAUUACAAAACAAAAAUUUCAGCCAAAACAUGCUGUAGUUUUAUUGAGGUGUAGUUUGCCAUUGUACUAUGAACUGAAGUUUGCGUGAUUGCCUUUGCAAGUCAGGCCAAACUUCAGGCAAAAAUAUCUGAAGUUUUGCUACACUUCAGGCAAAACAUUCUGAAGUUCAAACUUCAGACAUAAAAUUUUGCUACUUCAGGCUCGUAUGUCUGAAGUUACCCGAAAAGUGGGUACGCUUGUAAUUGAUUUUGCAAAGCGGGUAUAAGUUAAAAGUUGACCCAAAACUGGAUAUAGAUGCAAAUGCCCCGCAAGCACCCCUCUUCUUGUGGGCUAUUUCGGCCCAUUUCCUAGCCCUACAAUAUGUCUAAAUACUUGUACAAUAUUGCACCCGGUUGUCCUCUUAAGUAACUGAUCACUAAAAAUUAUUCUCAUUUUUAAAUUUAGGCUUUUUCUUCACUAAGGACAUCAGAAUUUUUUAACAAUAUUGAAAACUUAAAAUUCUUGUUUAGGGUAAAAUCUAGAAAUUAAUAAUUGACUAUUAUUAAAAUCGUUUGAAUAUUUAUAAUUUGUGCUUAAAGUUUUAGUUGAAUUCCUAAUUUAGUGAUUUGCUUUUAAAAAUUUUAAAACUACUGAUCCUUGAAAGUGUUGAUAAAGACAAAGUGGAUCUUCUUGAUUUGGUGUUAUUUGACAAAGUUGGUGAUUGGGGAUCAUUUAUGUUGGUAUUUGGAGGCUUUUAUUUUAAAUUUGAGAUCAUUUAGAGCAGAUUUGGAGUAGUUUGAUCGAAACUGAAAUUGCAAAUUUGAAGAACACUUUAUAACGCAACACAGAAAAAAUUAUGACAAUUUAUAGAUUUGGAUGAAUAAUUCAACAGAUAGGUCGAUUGCAGAUAACACAAAGUCAUGUUAAUCUAGUAGAGUUUGGUAAACAAUUGAACAAAUACAAAAUCAUACUAACAUGGCCGAGUUUGUGAAUAAUCUUACAAAUAUAUUAAUACAGGUAACACAAAGUCUUGUCACUAUGGUAGCGUUUCAUGAAUAAUUGAACAAACAUAAUGUCAUGACAACCGGGUAGAGUUUAUGAAUAAUUAAUAAUAUAGAUAGAGUAGAUAUAGAUAGGGUAGAGAAAUCCAAGACAAGUAAUAAACGUAUGUGGAUCUGGAGAUUUUUUUUAAAACAUUAAAAACGAUGACAUUAUUUAAAUAUCAGCACCUUACAGUUUGUUUGGAUGGUUGUUAUGUAUUGUUUCAUAAUGUAUCGUAUAUUAUUGUAUUUGUAUUAUACUGUAUCGUUUUGAUGUAUACAAUGUUUGGAUAUAUUGUAUUGUUUGACAUUGUUUCAUGAUGUCAUGCACCAAUAAUGUAAAGAAUAAACUUGCAAUAUUAUUUUAAGAAAAAUAACGUACGAGAUAAACUUAUUGUAUAAAAAAAUAGGGUAAAAGAUAAAAUAGGAUUAGUUUAUAAUAACAAGAUGAGAGAAAAAAAAUAAAGUAAUAACGUGUCUACACCAAAUAGAUCGUUCCAUAAAGUGGCACUUUUCACUUUUCGUUGUUACGUAAUAACAGAUUUAAUAAUACAAUACAAUAAAAUUCAAAUAACAAUCAAAACAUAUAUUGUAUUUAAAGUAACAAUAGGAUAUAAUACAACAGGUAACAACCAUCCAAACAAGUUGUUAAAAGGGUCAUUCUUGUCAAUCACACUCAAACAGACAAAUUGCAAAAAUAUCACCCGGUAUCCACUUAUCAGGUUGUUGUUUAGGUGUUAUCCAGCACUUACAAAUUAUUUAAUGUGUAGCCACAACUUAAAAACAAAAUAGAUGUUGUUUCUUCGUGUCCUAAAAUUCAAUUCUUUAGUUUAAAAUUUCACGACAGGAUGUCCUGAAGUUCGAUUUUUUAGUUCAAAACUUCAAGAUACUAUGAGUAUCCCGAAGUUUAGUUUUAUAGUUCAAAAUUUCAGGAUAUUGUGUUUUGAAGUUUAACGUUUCAGUUCAAAAAUUUAGAACAUUGUGUCUUUGAGUUCUGUUUUUCAAGUUUAGACUUCAGUGACGCUAUGUCCUAAAGUUUAACUUUUCUGUUCAAAACUUCAAGCCACUACGUCCUGCAGUUCGAAUUGUGUAGUUCAAGUUUCAAGCUUGUAUAUAUUUAUUUUACAGAAUAAUUAAAGCUAACAUUUUCAAGCUUUCAUUGUGAUUGGAAGAGGAGGAAUUCGAAUGAGUUUUGGGUCUUCGCAAUAAGAGAGAUAGCAAAAACAUUCGUUGUUGAAUGUGUAAGUAUGAAGUUGUGUCAAUUUUUGAAUUACUAGUGAAAGAAAAUAACUUUUUUUUUACAGAUAAUAUUAUGUACAAUGGGAAAAACAAUUAAGGGAUAUUAAAGAAGAAAAUAUAGAAAAAGAGAAGCACCAGAAAAAGUGAGAAAGAGAAAGAAGAGAAGCAGCUCAACUUAAAUGUCAAAUUUUCAUAGGGCACCCACUUUUGCGCCAUCCAUUGGAUUUGUACCCACUUUUCAAAAAAAGUUAAUUGAUACUCAAUUUUUGAAUAACUUAAUAUGCAUACACUUUUCUCUUCUUCUUUAUUGUUGUUUUCUUCUUCUUAAUUUGUGCUUGAGUUUCUUUUCUUCUUCUUAGUUACAAAAUGGCUUUGUUAAAUUUAUUGUUGUUUUGACAAUUUGAUGAUUGAUUUAUUUUUCAUGAUAUUUAAAAGUUAUGUUUCAAAUUUGAGCUCAUUUGGAGUAGAUUUAGGCAUUGAAUCGUGUAUUAGAUUGUUGAAAAUCGAAGAACAAGUUUUUGUUGCAGAACUUAAGAUUUGAAAUCUGAAGUUGCAUUCAAUAGAUUGAACUACUUAAGAUUCGAAUUUCUGAAUCUGCAUUUGAAAGAUAGAAGAACUUUAGAUUUGAUUUUUGAAGUUGUAUUGAAGAGGUUGAACUAUUUCAAAUUCGAAUUUCUAGAUAGAAGAACUUCAGAUUUGAUUUUUGAAGAUUGAACUACUUCAUAUCCGAGCUGCUACACUUUGCAAAAUUUUGUGCAAUACAAGUAUUACUUCAAUAGUGGCCCCAAAAAUGAGUAUAUUUGAAAAUGCCCCAACUUAAAUAGCAGCACCAAUGGCUAUCCGUGCACUUUCCCCAGACUUAUUUGGGCUUUGAAAAUUUGAGCUUCUUUGGCUGUUUUAUUUUGAGGGUAGCGAGGCCUUGAAUACGUAAAAGAGAAGGGAAGAGAUUUGUUGGAACGAAAAAACAGGCAGCAAAAAUUAUAUGAGUGACUUGCCAUGGUUAAAAAAGAAAAACCACUUGUCACUGAAUUUUCAAAUAUAUGAACUAUUCUUUUACAUAUGCGCCUUUAUAUUAAAUUUUAUCUUUAACUACAUCGUAAUCAAUACAAAUCCUCAUAUCAUUUUUAUAAUUUUAAAAGUGUAAUGAGCAAGUUCUAAUAUAUGAUAAUUCCAUUAUUUAAUUCGAUAUGGCUAAAUUCAUUUUCUCAUCAUAAAAAUAAUGUUAGUUCACCACAAUUAACUUGAAUAUCUUGGUGUCUUGGACUUAAAGAUCCAUAGCAGAAAAGAAAGCAGGAAGACAAACAAAAAGAUGAUAAUAUUAAUCUUUUCCUUUAAUUAUCAAGUUGAUUCACAUCUGUAUUUAUCAAAUCGAUUUAUAUCAAAGGGAAAGAAAAGGUAAUUUUUAUGUCAAACAAAAAGUAAUAAAUGGUUCGGACUAACUGUUAACUUAUUUAUACUAACCCUCCCUUUUGAAUUAAUUUAUUUAUACUUAAUAAUUUACAAUAAAUAUUUUAAAAUAUUUCCCAGUAAUGAAUAUCUAUUUUUUACAAAUUAACCAAGCAUUAGCUUUUAAAUUAAUCACAUAGCAUUGACAUUAUGUAAUUACAAAUAUAUUCACUAUUUUAGGAUUAUUAAAAUAAUUUCUAUACGUAAGUUCUAUAAUUAAUAAAUUACUCUUCAAUUUAUGGUUAAUUAGAUUACUACGUUAAUAACUCAAAAUUAGUAUUAUAAUUUAGAAGAAGAAAAAAACAAAGUAUUUUUAUAAAUAAUUGAUUGCAAUAAUUAGUAGUAUUUACUAAUUAUAAUAUUUACUAUAUUUUAUUGAAAAUAGUUUAAGUAUACUUAAAUUAAUUUCAAAAGGGUAAAAGGCUAAAGGGCUAUAAUUGUAACUCAAUUAAACAUAGGGUGACUAUUCUUUAAAUGAAUUUCAGCCCAAUUAUCAAGCCCAAAGCCAAAAUUUGACCCAGACCCAAUUCUCUUCUCUCCACCUUGGCAAUCUCCGUCACCUCUUCUGGACCAUUGAGAUCACGCCACAUCACCCGUAUCUCCCACUCACAAAGGAAACACAAACGAAUAUGGAUCGUUGGUCUAUCUAUCAACGGUCCGCAUUUAAUCUUUAUUUUUCUAUUUUUUUCUUUAGUCUUAUAAGACUCAAUCUCUGUCGUCCAAACCCAGAGAUCCGACGCCCCCUCAUAUUUCACCAUUUAAAAUGUUUUAAUCCUAAAAUAUUAGGACCUUUGAUCUAAAAGAUCAACGGCCCAAAUCAAUUCCCUCAUUCUUAACCUAGAGACCAGUUGGUCUCACUCAGAAACCCUAAUCAUUUCCCCACUCAUACGGCAGCCCUCAUUUCCUCUUUUGCUCUCUUUUCUCUCAAAUUGCCAUGAACAUCAAUCAACAAAACCUUGUACAAAUCCGUGCAAGGUCGUAAAAGCUCUCAUCAAAUCAUCCUUUCUUGCUAUCCUAGCCAGAAUCCUGCUGUUAUUUCCCCUUUUGUUCACUAAAUCUAGAUCAUUACAGUCUAAUCUCUUAAGCUUGAAACACCAUUCCGUCUUUGCUUUCAAAUCAAACUCAGAGAAUCACCCGUUUUGUCUCUGGGAUAUGAAGAAAGUUAUUUUCUUUCCAUUUUCGUUGAUAGAUAUUCAAAACCCCAAAUCCGAUAACCCUAGACCAAAUCGUGCAAGGGUCAAAUCUAUGAAAUCUCCUCUAUUUUGCUAAAUCUAUGGCAUGCAUGAACAUUUCUCAGGGUUAUCAUGAUUAUUCUUGGUCCAGAGGUCAAGCGAAGUGACCUCUGGACAUUAGUGCUCUUACCCGAUGGUUUUUGCCUUCAAAGGACUUCUCUCCUCUCAGGUAAACUCAUCAUUAUUCCCCCCUGUGUUCUAUGGUUUUACCUCUGCUUUGCUAUCAUCACUAGACCACAGUCUUUUUUCACUAUCUGAUUUGAAUCCUUUGAAACCCUAGAGGCUUCAAUAACCACUAUAAAUAGGAGCCUUCAAUUCUCUCACCUUGACACGACCAACCACCUAACACUGAAGAAAAUCACACACACAAACGAUAUCAGCCAUCUAUGAAAUUUUGAGUUCAAAGCCUUAGGUAUUCUUACUGUUUCCUUUCUUUUUAUUUGCUGAGUACUGUCGCUGGUGCAAGUUUGAGGUUUUUGGGGUCUUAAGAAAUUGAGAAAGAGCUCCCGUUUGGUCUGUUACUUUCAAAAAGAUCAGCAUAUCUCUCAUUCUUCACUUUUGUUCAUCUUUUUGGAUGCUACAAAUAUGAUCAUUAUACCCUGGGUAUUACAAUUAUUUUAUGGUGUUUAGUAUGUAAAUGUUUAUGUUCUGUUAGUUUAAUAUCUACUUGUGAUUGUGUGUCCUACUUCUGAGUCUUUAAUCGAUGAUUGAUUAAACUAUUAAUUGAUUCUUGCUAAUCUUUGUUCUCGAGUUUCCAACAGUCUACAUAUUUGAGUUAUUAUGUGUUCAUGUUCAUGUUCAUGUUCACAUGAACCUCAUAGUUAUUUUACUGAUAUGCAAUGACCUUUAUCCUUAUCUGUUUCAUCUCUGUAGUUUGUGAAUCUUGAAGUUGAGCUUAUUAUUUGAUAACCAUGACUGAAAUGAAUCUGAAGGUAUUUAAGUUCAUAUCCUAUGUCCUUUAACCUUAAGCAUAAACUCCCAGUGUUAUAUGUUUUCUUCUUUACUUAUGUUUGUUAAACUACUUCUGAGUUACCACUGUGGUCUUUUAUUUUGUCUAGUUGCUGUCACUUCUGUUGACCUAAUCUUGUUUGAAUUAAACUUUCUUAUCUUCUCCAGUAGUCUUACUGUACACAUUUGUUAAAAAUUAAUUUAUCCUUCCUCAUAACACAAACAUGAUCCUUCUUUACUUUGUUAUAAAAGACUGAUAACUUAGGCUGAACUUGAUUGUUUUCUUGAUUAGUUAACAUCUUCAACUACAUGCUCAAUCUUAAACUUACUUGGUAUCAUACCUACUGCCUCUAAUCUUUUAGGGUUAUCAUUGACCUUUGAAAACUGACAUGCAUUUUAUCUUUUAAGAUUGUCUUCCCUUAAAAAUAUCUAGUUACUCUGCUUUAACUAAGUGGUAACUUGUAAAAGGAGAAGCAUGAUCCUUUCCAUAUUUAUGUACUAACCUAGACUUAAGUUUUGAGUUAAACCUGUUCUAAUGCAAUAUCUUUCCUUUAUCUGCAACUCUCUCUCCUCAUGACAUGCUUAAUCUAAUUCUACAAAUGUGUAAAGUUUCCCCUAUCUACAUAAAUUAUUAUUGUAUUUGAAGUGUUCAAGUAACUAAUUGAAUACUGUAUGUUCCUGCUUAAUUUCUGAUCUUAUACCUUGUCCAGGAUCACUCCAGUCCUUUCUCUACUGUUAACUUUAAAACCAAAUCUGAUCCCUAAAAUCUCAUAAGGAUCUUUGUUGAUGCUAUAUGAACAUGAUGAUUUGUUUGAAGCUAACACUAUUAGGAGAAUGAUUUUGUAGGAACUAUUAGGAACUCAGCAGACCCAAACCAGCUUCGCAGUAUUUUCUGAAGAGUCCAGUCAGCUACAGCUGCUCCACUCCAUUGCUGGGCUUACCUUAUUGAGGCCCAACCAUCUGAGCCCAGUUCUUUCUCCCUUACUUCUUUCGUUGCUGCUCAUUAUUUCCAUAGCCUAGCUUACUGCUUCAUUAUUUUUCACUUAUUGGCUUUGUUGUUUUAUCAUAUUUCAUUAUUAUGUAUUCAACACUCAUAUAUUAGAUUAUAUAUUUU
rnacentral:lncRNA from 1 species